AUGAUGUCCAUUUCUUGUGUGUCUUUAAAAUCAGACAAUCGUGUACAAAAACCCAAAGUCACGGUCUACCCAGUGUCCAAACCUGAGCCGAAUAGGAAAACAACCCUGCUAUGUCUGGCUAGAGACAUGUUUCCAGACUUGGUCAAGAUUUCAUGGAAGAUGGUGGAUAAAAACGGCCGAACAAUGGAGGUGCCCAAAGCAGAGAUGGAAGAGCUGGAGCAGAGGGAGGAAGGGCGGACGACAAGUAUGAUCAUCAUUGAUAAAGAGAAAACGUACAAGAACAAAUACAUCUGUUCUGUGGAGCAUAAAUUGGGCACUCAAGACGUUGACAUACCAAAAGAGGAACCAACUGAAGCUCCUCAAACCACCAUGGCUGCACCAACCACUCUGCACGUUACCUAUGAGGAUCCAACUGAAGCUCCUCCAUCAACAAAGGCUGCACCAACUGCUCUGCAGGCUACAAACGAUUCCUUCCAGUCAACAUGCAGUCUCAACCUGGCCUCUCUGGUUUAUACAGUGAUGAUCCUGAAGAGCAUGGUGUACUGCUGUGGGCUCUCUCUCCUGCUGCACAACAGGAACCUGGGAAGUAGACCCAAAACCUGUAGACCCAUUCAUUGAAAGGAUAUGCCCCAGUAUGGAUAGAGUUGUAGUGGGCUGGGAACAACAAGGAUUUUACACCCCAUUGUGGUCUCAGAUUUCAUUUGUGUACCUUUUAUUUUUUUCCAGCUUCAUUUUUUUAAAUGCUAAAAUUUUGUGAGCCAUAGAUUUACACGUCUUCCAAUAACUUCAACAGCUAAUUAUGACAUUAAUUGCAGAACAUUUCAUUUGUAUUUCCAAUAACUUCAACUGACAAUUAUGACAUUAAUUGCAGAACAUUUCAUUUGAGUAUAUUGUGUUUCCCUCCUUAACAUUUAUGCCUACAAGGCCGCU